UACGAGGGGGGCGAGCGUUGUUCGGAAUUACUGGGCGUAAAGCGUGCGUAGGUGGUUUGUUAAGUCUGUUGUGAAAGCCCCGGGCUCAACCUGGGAAUGGCAAUGGAUACUGGCAAGCUAGAGUGCGGUAGAGGGUAGUGGAAGUUCCCGGUGUAGCGGUGAAAUGCGUAGAGAUCGGGAGGAACACCAGUGGCGAAGGCGGCUACCUGGACCAGCACUGACACUGAGGCACGAAAGCGUGGGGAGCAAACAGG
rnacentral:rRNA from 1 species